GUGAGGAAUAUUGGACAAUGGGUGAGAGCCUGAUCCAGCCAUCCCGCGUGAAGGACGACGGCCCUAUGGGUUGUAAACUUCUUUUGUACAGGGAUAAACCUUUCCACGUGUGGAAAGCUGAAGGUACUGUACGAAUAAGCACCGGCUAACUCCGUGCCAGCAGCCGCGGUAAUACGGAGGGUGCAAGCGUUAUCCGGAUUUAUUGGGUUUAAAGGGUCCGUAGGCGGAUCUGUAAGUCAGUGGUGAAAUCUCAUAGCUUAACUAUGAAACUGCCAUUGAUACUGCAGGUCUUGAGUAAGGUAGAAGUAGCUGGAAUAAGUAGUGUAGCGGUGAAAUGCAUAGAUAUUACUUAGAACACCAAUUGCGAAGGCAGGUUACUAUGUCUUAACUGACGCUGAUGGACGAAAGCGUGGGGAGCGA
rnacentral:rRNA from 1 species